rnacentral:misc_RNA from 2 species
CGCCAGCUCAAAUAGUAGUGGCAUCUUUUACUCUUUUCUUUAAAAAGUAAAAGAUAUAGUGGAUCCCGAAUUUUC